GAUGAACGCUGGCGGCGUGCCUAAUACAUGCAAGUCGAGCGAACAGACGAGGAGCUUGCUCCUCUGACGUUAGCGGCGGACGGGUGAGUAACACGUGGAUAACCUACCUAUAAGACUGGGAUAACUUCGGGAAACCGGAGCUAAUGCCGGAUAAUAUAUUGAACCGCAUGGUUCAAUAGUGAAAGACGGUUUUGCUGUCACUUAUAGAUGGAUCCGCGCCGCAUUAGCUAGUUGGUAAGGUAACGGCUUACCAAGGCAACGAUGCGUAGCCGACCUGAGAGGGUGAUCGGCCACACUGGAACUGAGACACGGUCCAGACUCCUACGAGAGGCAGCAGUAGGGAAUCUUCCGCAAUGGGCGAAAGCUUGACGGAGCAACGCCGCGUGAGUGAUGAAGGUCUUCGGAUCGUAAAACUCUGUUAUUAGGGAAGAACAAAUGUGUAAGUAACUAUGCACGUCUUGACGGUACCUAAUCAGAAAGCCACGGCUAACUACGUG
rnacentral:rRNA from 1 species